rnacentral:rRNA from 1 species
AACGAACGCUGGCGGCAGGCUUAACACAUGCAAGUCGAGCGCCCCGCAAGGGGAGCGGCAGACGGGUGAGUAACGCGUGGGAACGUACCCUUUGCUACGGAAUAGCUCCGGGAAACUGGAAUUAAUACCGUAUGUGCCCUACGGGGGAAAGAUUUAUCGGCAAAGGAUCGGCCCGCGUUGGAUUAGCUAGUUGGUGGAGUAAUGGCCUACCAAGGCGACGAUCCAUAGCUGGUCUGAGAGGAUGAUCAGCCACAUUGGGACUGAGACACGGCCCAAACUCCUACGGGAGGCAGCAGUGGGGAAUAUUGGACAAUGGGCGCAAGCCUGAUCCAGCCAUGCCGCGUGAGUGAUGAAGGCCUUAGGGUUGAAAAGCUCUUUCACCGGAGAAGAUAAUGACGGUAUCCGGAGAAGAAGCCCCGGCUAACUUCGUGCCAGCCGCCGCGGUAAAAC